CAGCUUUUUUCUUUUUGAAAUUACUUCUAGGCACCUGGGCACAAUUUCUACUUUAAACCACCGUGAUGGCCUCUUACUGACCUAUUGAACAACAGGAACUCUAGGCACUAGAAGGAAGUCUGUCUGCCUAGUGUAAAGAUCUGGUGCGAGUGAGAUAAGUUUCCCUCAGAUGUGGAGCAUCGACUCAACUGAGGGGCUCCCUUCCCGGGACUUUAAUCAGUUACUGGAUUCAGGAGAGGCUGAGGCGGAGGUUUGGCUGGAGCAGGUGUGGCCGCACGCUUCGGGGAACCGGGUUGAAUCUCAGCAUUAGCUUCCUGAACCGUGAGGAAACUCCGUGUCGUUCGUGCCUCUCCUAAACCGCCACUGAAAUCCGGGGGUUCGUGGGUGGGAAUCUGAUGACGCCUUUUAUCUGUCUAAGAAACGAAUGACACAGUCGGUGAAAUGAUAACCAAACU